rnacentral:rRNA from 1 species
GACGAACGCUGGCGGCGUGCUUAACACAUGCAAGUCGAACGGAAAGGCCCUGCUUGCAGGGUACUCGAGUGGCGAACGGGUGAGUAACACGUGGGUGAUCUGCCCUGCACUUCGGGAUAAGCCUGGGAAACUGGAACUAAUACCGGAUAGGAGCCAUUUUUAGUGUGAUGGUUGGAAAGUUUUUUCGGUGUAGGAUGAGCUCGCGGCCUAUCAGCCUGUUGGUGGGGUAAUGGCCUACCAAGGCGGCGACGGGUAGCCGGCCUGAGAGGGUGGACGGCCACAUUGGGACUGAGAUACGGCCCAGACUCCUACGGGAGGCAGCAGUGGGGAAUAUUGCACAAUGGGCGCAAGCCUGAUGCAGCGACGCCGCGUGGGGGAUGACGGCCUUCGGGUUGUAAACUCCUUUCGCUAGGGACGAAGCUUUUUGUGACGGUACCUAGAUAAGAAGCACCGGCUAACUACGUG